AGAACGACUCUCGACAACGGAUAUCUCGGCUCUCGCAUCGAUGAAGAACGUAGUGAAAUGCGAUACUUGGUGUGAAUUGCAGAAUCCCGUGAACCAUCGAGUCUUUGAACGCAAGUUGCGCCCGAAGCCGUUAGGCCGAGGGCACGUCUGCCUGGGCGUCUCAC
rnacentral:rRNA from 3 species